GAGUUUGAUCAUGGCUCAGAUUGAACGCUGCGGCAUGCCUUCACAUGCAAGUCGAACGGUAACGGGCCUUCGGGUGCCGACGAGUGGCGAACGGGUGAGUAAUGUAUCGGAACGUACCUUUCAGUGGGGAUAACGUAGCGAAAGUUACGCUAAUACCGCAUAUUCUGUGAGCAGGGAAAGCAGGGGAUCGCAAGACCUUGCGCUGAUUGAGCGGCCGAUAUCAGAUUAGCUAGUUGGUGAGGUAAAGGCUCACCAAGGCGACGAUCUGUAGCGGGUCUGAGAGGAUGAUCCGCCACACUGGAACUGAGACACGGUCCAGACUCCUACGGGAGGCAGCAGUGGGGAAUUUUGGACAAUGGGGGCAACCCUGAUCCAGCCAUGCCGCGUGAGUGAAGAAGGCCUUCGGGUUGUAAAGCUCUUUCGGCCGGGAAGAAAUCGUAUGGGCUAAUACCCUGUGCGGAUGACGGUACCGGCAUAAGAAGCACCGGCUAACUACGUG
rnacentral:rRNA from 1 species